rnacentral:rRNA from 1 species
GACGAACGCUGGCGGCGUGCUUAACACAUGCAAGUCGGACGAUGAAGCUAGAGCUUGCUCUGGUGAAUUAGUGGCGAACGGGUGAGUAACACGUGAGUAACCUGCCCCGAACUCUGGGAUAACUGCUGGAAACGGUAGCUAAUACUGGAUACGACCUACGAAGGCAUCUUCUGUAGGUGGAAAGAAUUUCGGUUCGGGAUGGACUCGCGGCCUAUCAGCUUGUUGGUGAGGUAAUGGCUCACCAAGGCGACGACGGGUAGCCGGCCUGAGAGGGUGACCGGCCACGCUGGGGCUGAGACACGGCCCAGACUCCUACGGGAGGCAGCAGUGGGGAAUAUUGCACAAUGGGCGCAAGCCUGAUGCAGCAACGCCGCGUGAGGGAUGACGGCCUUCGGGUUGUAAACCUCUUUUAGUAGGGAAGAAGCGAAAGUGACGGUACCUGCAGAAAAAGCACCGGCUAACUACGUGCCAGCCGCCGCCGUAA